rnacentral:rRNA from 1 species
UACGUAGGGUGCGAGCGUUGUCCGGAAUUAUUGGGCGUAAAGGAGCUCGUAGGCGGUGUGUCACGUCGGCCGUGAAAACCUGGGGCUUAACUCUGGGCGUGCGGUCGAUACGGGCAUCACUAGAGUUCGGCAGGGGAGACUGGAAUUCCUGGUGUAGCGGUGAAAUGCGCAGAUAUCAGGAGGAACACCGGUGGGCGAAGGCGGGUCUCUGGGCCGAAUACUGAC